AAGCGUUGUUCGGAAUUAUUGGGCGUAAAGCGCGUGUAGGCGGUUUUUUAAGUCUGAUGUGAAAGCCCCGGGCUCAACCUGGGAAGUGCAUUGGAAACUGGGAGACUUGAAUACGGGAGAGGGCAGUGGAAUUCCUGGUGUAGGAGUGAAAUCCGUAGAUAUCAGGAGGAACACCAGUGGCGAAGGCGGCUGCCUGGACCGAUAUUGACGCUGAGACGCGAAAGCGUGGGGAGCAAACAGGAUUAGAUACCCUGGUAGUCCACGCCGUAAACGAUGAGUACUAGGUGUCGCGGGUAUUGACCCCUGCAGUGCC
rnacentral:rRNA from 1 species